rnacentral:rRNA from 1 species
UGGGGAAUUUUGCACAAUGGGGGAAACCCUGAUGCAGCGACGCCGCGUGAUUUAGAAGGCCUUCGGGUUGUAAAAAUCUUUUCUAUGGGAAGAAAAUGACAGUACCAUAGGAAUAAGGACCGGCUAAUUACGUGCCAGCAGCCGCGGUAAUACGUAAGGUCCGAGCGUUGUCCGGAAUCAUUUGGCGUAAAGGGUACGUAGGCGGGUAAGCAAGUUAGAAGUGAAAUCCUAUAGCUCAACUAUAGUAAGCUUUUAAAACUGCUCAUCUUGAGGUAUGGAAGGGAAAGUGGAAUUCCUAGUGUAGCGGUGAAAUGCGCAGAUAUUAGGAGGAAUACCGGUGGCGAAGGCGACUUUCUGGCCAUAACCUGACGCUGAGGUAUGAAAGCGUGGGUAGCAAACAGG